GUGUCCCCAAAACCCCUGAGGGGGUCUGGGGGGGUCCCCAAAACCCGGGGAGUUCCCUGAUACCCUGGGGGUCCCCAAAACACAGAGGGGCCCCCAAAGUAAGGGGACUCCAAAUACUGGGGGGGUCCCCAAACUUGGGGGGUCCCCAAUACCCUGGGGGGGGGUCCCCAGACCCCAGGAGGGGGUGCCCAAGUUCCGGGGGGGGUCUCCAAAGUAUGGGGGACCCUCAGUCCUGGGGGGUCCCCAAGUUCACUGUGGAUCCCCAGAACUUGGGGGUCCCCAGUACCUGGGGAGGGGGUCCCCAAAAUGUGGACGGGGUCUCAGCACCCCAGGAAGGAUCCCCAAGCCCUGGGGGGUGUCCCCAGAUUGUGGGGUCCCCUCAAUUUUGGGGGGUUCCCAGAACUAUUAAAGGGUCCCCAUUGACCCCCCUCCCGAUUUUGGGGGCCCCCCCAUCCCUAUGUACAGCGUGGCGAGGCCCCCCCCGGCUGGGGGGGUUGUGCUUCCGGGGGGGCCCCGCUGGGAUUAGGGGGACCCCCGGAGAGAGGGGGGGCGGUUUCAGGGAGCCCCCCCCGUGCCUCAGUUUCCCGGGCGGGGGGGGGGGGAGGGCUGGUCCAUUUACAUCUAUAUUACAAGGAAAAUGUGUCUCUUUGUGGGGGGGUCCCCGUUUCGGGGGGGGUCCCUGCUGCGGGGGGACCCCUCAGUUUGGGGGGCUCUCAGUGCCCCUCCCGGCUCGGUGCUGCCGAGGCCAUCGGGGCCCCCCUGGGAUGGCUUUUGGGGGGGCCCCCAGGAUGUGGCCGAGGGAUCCUCCCCAAACGCCCCCAGGCCGGGGCGGGGGCACGAGGGGGGGCCCUGCAAGGUCCGGGUGCAAAGUCCUGGUGCGAGGUCCUGGCGCGAGGGGGGACGUGGCUGAGCGAGGUCCCCAAGCACGGUCCCCACGCAAGGUCCCCACGUGUGGCGCCAGCUGGGUGCUCGGGCGAGGUCCCCACAUGCGGCACCACCUGAAUCCACAGGCGACAUCCCCACGUGUGGCACAGGUGAUGGAUCCUCGGGUGAUGCCAGGUGGAUCCUCGGGCGAGGUCCCCACGUGUGGCACCAGACGAUGGAUCCUCGGGUGACACUGGGUGGAUCCUUGGCUGAGGUCCCCACGCGUGGCACCAGAUCCUUGUGCCUCCCCAGCUCCUCGUGUGACACUGCGGCCUUGCACAACCACAGCUCGUGUGACACCGUGCCCUGGUGCCACCACAGCUCCUCGUGCGAGCCCCUGGGACCGCGCUGUCCCCUCUGGUGGUGGCCAUGUCGUCGUGCAAGGCCGGCUCCUUGCUGGGGACCGGCUCCUCGUGCAGGGUGGGGGUCCUUGAGUGCCACCGGACCCUGGCGCGAGGCCGCCCUCCCGCCAUGAGGAUGAGACCUCGCACGAGGGGGCCGUGGCUUGGGCCGGACCCCCGUGUGAGGCCGGAUCCCCGUGCCAGGCCGGACCCUCAUGUGAGGCUGGACCCCCGUGUGAGGAGGGGUCUUUGCUCAGGGCCAGACCCCCGCGCGCCCCCAGAGCCUCCAUUGACGGGGCGUCCCCAUGCCAGCCCGGCCCCCCGUGUCCCCCCCGGCCGCAUCCCCGUGCGAGGCCGCACCCCCCGGCGAGGGGGGGCUCCCGCCGUGCCCCCGUGCCCCCCGCGUGCCCCCGGCCCCCGGUGUGAGGGAGGGUCCCGCGCGCCCCCCCGCCCGGGGGUCUCACAGGCUGGUCACCAGCUGCAUCUGCCCGUCGGGCUCGGCGCCCCCCGCGCCCCCCUCGGGCCCCCCGAAGGUCUCGGGGCUGUGCCGGCGGUUGGGGGGGGGCGC
rnacentral:lncRNA from 1 species